rnacentral:lncRNA from 1 species
CCCCCGGCGGCCGCGGGCAGGCUGCCCGGCGCGGCACUGGGCGAGCGCCCCGGGGAGCGCGAGGGCACCGCUGCGGGCGCGUCCGUGCGCGCCAGGGGUCCGGGGGCGCCGCCGAGCCGGGCGCCGCGGGUGGGUGUGCGCGCUCGGGGGCGUGUGCCGCGUCGGGGACGGCUGUUGCUGGGAACUGUUGCUCUCGUCUCACGGCGGCAGCGGCGGCAGCGCCCGGCAGUUCGCAGUACCCGCUCUCAUCGCCCUCAACUCCUCUCUGCUGCGAGGUUAGCAAAUCACCACCGGCUGCGGCGCCUCCGCCGCGUCCCACGUCAACGCCGAGCCCCCUCCCCUGCGAGGCCCCGGCGCCUCUCCAUCUUUAGUGCUGGCGGCCGAGCCCGGCGCGCUGCCCACAGCGGCCCCCCUUCCCUCCCCCCUCCCGCGCCGUCCCCGGCCUCAGCCCGCCCACCCCACCCCACCCCCCCGGACUGGCCGAGCCCGCGCGCGCUCCCCGCCCCACCCUCCCCUCCCCUCCCUCCCCUCCCCUCCCCUCCCCGCGCUCCGCGCUCCGGGCUUCGCCUGACAUCUAGCUGCUGCUGGGGCGCCGGCGGCCGCGCUCACCGCUCACCGCUCACCGCUCACCGCUCACCGCCCGGGCGGAGAGGGAGGAGGGAGCUCGCGGAGAGCAGUGCCCGGGACUCGGGACCCUUGGGGGGGGGGGCAGCUCCCACCUUCCACCCCAGGCUUUUUCCUUUCCUCCGGGCGCGGAGUUUCGUCCCCGGCUCCAGUGUUUGCCCCAAUCCCGUGUGUGUCAUCUCGCCUUUCACUUUGCUCCGGGCUCGGGGCCGCCUCCCCGGGACCGCGACAUCGGUGGCCGGAGGUCCCUUCCGCGGCCCGAGCCCAGGCCUUCUGCGCCUCCAGGCGCCGGGCAUCCGGAUCGCGAGACGCCUCCGGGCGCGGUUCCCAGGCCCUGGGGAGCUGGUGCCGGAGGGCCACGGGGAUCAGCCGCCCAAGGGAGACCCCUCCCCCGUGUUAGCUGCCGGGAUCCCGGGAGGCCGAGAGCAACUUUUCUCUCCCCGGAGUCUUGAGCAUCCCCUGGGCUCUGCUCCCUUCCUUGCCCUCCCACCCCCACCCCCCACCCCCGGGAACCUGGUUGGAGACGGAUCCCGAGAACCGCGUCCUGCUCAGCGCAAAGCCUUCAGGGGGCGAGUGAAAGCUGGAAAAAGCUCCAGAGCCCCCAAAAGAGCCUCUUCCUCUCGGCGGGCCUCUCCACCCCAAGGGGAGGGGGGGGAGUUGAGAUCACUAACCUCAGGGUAG